UACGGGGGGGGCAAGCGUUGUUCGGAAUUACUGGGCGUAAAGGGCUCGUAGGCGGCCAACUAAGUCAUACGUGAAAUCCCUCGGCUUAACCGGGGGAACUGCGUCUGAUACUGGAUGGCUUGAGUUCGGGAGAGGGAUGCGGAAUUCCAGGUGUAGCGGUGAAAUGCGUAGAUAUCUGGAGGAACACCGGUGGCGAAGGCGGCAUCCUGGACCGAUACUGACGCUGAGGAGCGAAAGCCAGGGGAGCAAACGGGG
rnacentral:rRNA from 1 species